rnacentral:rRNA from 1 species
AGAGUUUGAUCCUGGCUCAGGUUGAACGCUAGCGGGAUGCCUUACACAUGCAAGUCGAACGGCAGCACGGACUUCGGUCUGGUGGCGAGUGGCGAACGGGUGAGUAAUGUAUCGGAACGUGCCCAGUAGCGGGGGAUAACUACUCGAAAGAGUAGCUAAUACCGCAUACGCCCUACGGGGGAAAGGGGGGGAUCGCAAGACCUCUCACUAUUGGAGCGGCCGAUAUCGGAUUAGCUAGUUGGUGGGGUAAAGGCCUACCAAGGCGACGAUCCGUAGCUGGUUUGAGAGGACGACCAGCCACACUGGGACUGAGACACGGCCCAGACUCCUACGGGAGGCAGCAGUGGGGAAUUUUGGACAAUGGGGGCAACCCUGAUCCAGCCAUCCCGCGUGUGCGAUGAAGGCCUUCGGGUUGUAAAGCACUUUUGGCAGGAAAGAAAUCGCACGGGAUAAUACCUCGUGUGGAU